UUAUUUGUCGCAAAAUAUACUGUAACAAAUUCAAAUUGGAAGACAUAACUGAAAGAUGAUAGUAGAACAAAAUUUAAACGGAGGUACAGGAACCAAUUUAGGGGCGCCCUUACAAUUCUUCCUAGUUCCAAUUUGAAAUGGGAAAUAACGGCCCGACUCCCAAGCCUCAACCAACGGCCACAACGUUUCACGGAAUCCCAUACACCACCACCACCACCACCUCAUCAAUCUCCCCUUUGCCCUCGCAUUUCCUUCUCCUUUUGCCCAAGAAUCUUCCUUCCCCUGCACAAUCAGAAACCAACUUUACGACACAACACACACACACACACAAAAAGAAAGGAAAAAAAUAGAAAGAAAGAAAGAACACAAAGCAAUAAAGCAUUGCUUGUUUCUUGAUCCCAAUCUAUGAUUCCUCCCAAGAGAGGGACGCCAUAAAGAGAGGAAACGCCUCCUCCUGAGGCCAUCCCGGACCGAAUGCUGCGCGAUGCCAAGCAAUGAUCGGCGGCGGGAUCCGCCAUCGCCAUCGCCACCGCCAUUGCAGCAAUCGCCGCCGCCGCUUUUAUUCCCCGACGUAUCCGACGACGGGGAAGGCGAAGCUGAGGAAGUGGGGAUUGGCGCGGCGGCCGGCAGUCGCAGCAGCUUCUCCUACCACCGCCUGCCGGAGCCCCUCCUCCGCCUCUCCGUCCUCAAACUGGACGGCUCCUCCUUCGAUGUGCGGGUUGCGGGGACGGCCGCUGUGUGGGAGUUGAAGGUCGCGAUCGAGGACAUAUUCAGCCGCGCUUCUGACGAUGGGGAAUGGAACAUUUCUUGGUGUCAUGUAUGGGGUCACUUCUGUUUAUGCUAUAAAGAUCGGAAAUUAACUGAUGAGAAGGCAUUUCUUCGCUCCUUCGGGAUCAAAGAUGGAGAUCAGCUUCAUUUUGUGCGGCACCUGACAAUUAACUACAAUCCAAGAAAGAGAAGAUCCAAAAGUCUUGAAACAGUUUUUGAACUGCACAGAAGGUCAUUGGCAGGGCCAGAAGUCUUUAUCAGAAAGGAGGAUUAUGCGGAGACAAAUGAAGAUUAUAGGCGUUCGACCAGUUGCACAGAUCAGCAGGCCAGUGUCCAUAAUGGAAACAACGAUAUUGAUGAGCAAAUAAAAUUCAAAUCGGGCAACUUUUUCCGGAGAUGGUUUUCCUAUUCCAAAUUGGCUAGUUCUAAGAAGAUGCAUUCUAAAAGUAAGACUAACAGCUCAAAAUCUAGCAAGAAAAGUGUCAGAUCAAAGUUGGGCCACUGGUUAUCCAAGAAAUGCUCAAAAGUAUCCAAGAAAAGCUCAAAAGUAGAAGCCACGUAGAUAUAACUCGCGCUUUCAUGGCCCUAUUCAUGAAUAUUGUGGAUUCUUGUGAAGAACGGUGUAUUUUGCAAUGCACAAUCUGAGCUGCUUUGUUUCCCUGAUUUCCUCCACGAAGCCGUGAAAUAACCACAUGAAUUAUAUUUUGAUGCUUAACUUAGAGUAGGUUGUAGUGAAAUAAUUUGAUUUCAACUGACCUAUCCAUGAUCUUCAGAUUAUAUUUUGUAACGUAUGUGACAGAGAUAGAGAACUGCAAAGUACUGUAUGAAACUGAGAAUUUUCUGAUGAUCAUUUGUGGAUUUUUGUGGAGAUGACCCUUAUCUGACAAGUGGGACUUGUGUAAGAUUUGUGUCGAGCGUCGUGGGAUGAGGUCGUGCUCAGCACUUGCCAGCACGAAUGGGUUAGGGUUUUAUCAACUUUAUCAAUAUGGCAAGGCACGGUGAGUACGAUCGGUGCCGAUGGAUGGCUGGUGCACGGUGAGAACGAUCGGUGCCGAUGGAUGGCUGGUGCGGAUGGAGUAUGGUGGACACGGCUACUGUGGAUGGAUUUCGAUUAAUAAAAAAUAAUUUUUUCUGAGGGAAAACUUCUGUUUUUAUGAUAAUUAUAAUUCUUUGCUAUUAUACAGGAGAUGAAAUUGUUAUAUUGCAAUAAGAAUUUCAUGAUUUUGGUGGAAUAGUAAUUUAGGCAAGCUGUUCGUUUUUCAGUUGGAUAUCAAUGGCCCUCUUAAAAACUACCUUCACUAACGGCGCUUGAUCCUGA